GCUGCCUGGAGAGGCCCGGCGCCGAGACCUGCCCAGUGGCCAGCUUGCGGCGUGCUUGCCGGCGUGUACGCAGCCAUCCAUCCCUCCAUUCAUUCCUGCAUCCAACAUUUACUGAGCGCAUCCUCUAUGCCAGGUGACUAUUUGCUGGUCUAUUUGGCUGAUUGUGGUAACCUCAGAAGUUCCUGGCACGUCGUAGGCCCUCAAAUAAAUGUGUGAUGAGCGAACGAAGCGUGGGCCCCACCAUUCUCCUGGUCAGACGGGACGCGGCGGGGCGCGGCGGAGAGUGGUGGACUUCGGGGGAGAGGACCCCGGCCGAGCACAAUGAGCCUCAUUCCUAGUCUGAAGGAAGACCCCCUGUUAGAACAGCUCAGAGAAGGUGGGCAUGUGGGGCUAAAUCUGCUCAGCGAGACAGAAACUCGCAGGGGCAGAGGAAGCAGGGUCCAGUGAAGAGGAGGUGCCUGCUGCCGGAAGAGCCCUCUUCCUCGCGCCCCCUCACCCGCAGGUUCUCUUCCUCUAGAAUAUUUGGGGAAAGGGGAUUUCUCCCCAGCAGUCCCAGUGUUGGUCCCUGUAGCAGCUCUGGCUUGCCACAGGUCUCCGCUGGCCUUGCUGCUGGUCACCUCCCUGGGGUACAGUGUUGACAUCCUUGACCUUGGCUCCGAGGAAAGGCGUGAGAGGAGACCACUGUCAAUCACGCCCGGCCCCAAAUCUCAGCAAAGCACCCUCCUUCAUACCUAACAAAUCGCUGGAACAGGACCGCUGUGUGGAGAGCUGACUAUGAGGAUUUGAAGAUAUCCCAAGGGUCUCACGACAUGGAAAAGGAAAACUUAAAGUUCAGCAUCUGAUCUCAGCAUCCCUAAAGGCCUCAGCACCUCGUGGAUUUUCUGAGACUUGCUUUGUGGCCAAGUACGCAAUAAAUGUUUGAAAAUGUUCCAUGUUUGCUUCGAAAGAGUAUGUAUAUUCUAGUUGUAAGGAUCUAGUUAGAUCUAUUGAAUCAGGCUUAUUGAUUGUGUUAUUUAUGUCUUUUAUAUCUUAUCAGUUUUUGCUUUUUUGAUCUAUCAGUUACUGAGAAAGAUGUGUUAAGAUUGCCAAUCAAUGUUGUGCAUUUGUCAAUUUCUCCCUGUAUUUAUGACAAUUUUUACUUUAUAUAUUUUGAGACUGUGUAUACAAGUUUUGAAUUGUAUUUUCCUGGGAAAGUGUUCAUUUUAUUAUUAUGAAUUAACACUUUAUCCCUAAUAAUACUUUUAAUUUAUAAUCCAUUUUAUCUGACAUUGAUAUAGCUGCACUAACUUUAUUUUGAUGAGUAUUUGUUUGAUAUAUCUUUUUCCAUCCUUUACUUCCAAACUUUCUGUAUCUUUAUGUUUCAGAUGUGUGUUUUAUAAGAUCAUGUAGAUAGAUUUUGUUGU